rnacentral:tRNA from 1 species
GCCUGGCUGGCUCCACGGUUACAGCAUGUGACUCUUGAUCUUGAGGGAGUGAGUUCGAGCCCCACGUUGGGCA